rnacentral:rRNA from 1 species
UACGUAGGGGGCUAGCGUUGUCCGGAAUCAUUGGGCGUAAAGAGCGUGUAGGCGGUCCGGUAAGUCCGCUGUGAAAGUCGGGGGCUCAACCCUCGAAUGCCGGUGGAUACUGUCGGGCUAGAGUGCGGAAGAGGCGAGUGGAAUUCCUGGUGUAGCGGUGAAAUGCGCAGAUAUCAGGAGGAAAACCUAUUGCGAAGGCAGCUCGCUGGGACGUUACUGACGCUGAGACGCGAAAGCGUGGGGAGCAAACAGG